AUUGAACGCUGGCGGCAGGCCUAACACAUGCAAGUCGAGCGGAGCGGAGGACGGGGGAGGAUUGCCUAGGAAUCUGCCUGGUAGUGGGGGAUAACGUCCGGAAACGGGCGCUGAUACCGCAUACUAUCAGAUGAGGCUAGGUCGGAUUAGCUAGUGGGUGGGGUAAAGGCAUACAAAGGCGACGAUCCGUAACUGGUCAGAGAGGAUGAUCAGUCACACUGGAACUGAGACACGGUCCAGACUCCUACGGGAGGCAGCAGUGGGGAAUAUUGGACAAUGGGCGAAAGCCUGAUCCAGCCAUGCCGCGUGUGUGAAGAAGGUCUUCGGAUUGUAAAGCACUUUAAGUUGGGAGGCGUUACCAACAGAAUAAGCACCGGCUAACUUCGUGCCAGCAGCCGCGGUAAUUC
rnacentral:rRNA from 1 species